AUUGAACGCUGGCGGCAUGCCUUACACAUGCAAGUCGAACGGCAGCACGGGAGCAAUCCUGGUGGCGAGUGGCGAACGGGUGAGUAAAGUAUCGGAACGUGCCCAGUCGUGGGGGAUAACGUAGCGGAAGUUGCGCUAAUACCGCAUACGAUCUAUGGAUGAAAGCGGGGGAUCGCAAGACCUCGCGCGAUUGGAGCGGCCGAUAUCAGAUUAGGUAGUUGGUGGGGUAAAGGCUCACCAAGCCGACGAUCUGUAGCUGGUCUGAGAGGACGACCAGCCAAACUGGAACUGAGACACGGCCCAGACUCCUACGGGAGGCAGCAGUGGGGAAUUUUGGACAAUGGGCGAAAGCCUGAUCCAGCCAUGCCGCGUGCAGGAUGAAGGCCUUCGGGUUGUAAACUGCUUUUGUACGGAACGAAAAGGUUUGGCCUAAUAAGCUGAGCUCAUGACGGUACCGUAAGAAUAAGCACCGGCUAACUACGUGCCAGCCGCCGCCGUAA
rnacentral:rRNA from 1 species